GUGCUUGCUUUGGCAGCACAUAUACUAAAAUUGGAACAAUACAGAGAAGAUUAGCAGGGCCCCUGCUCAAGGAUGACAUGCAAAUUUGUGAAGUAUUCCAUAUUUUA
ensembl:snRNA U6 U6 spliceosomal RNA